rnacentral:rRNA from 1 species
GAUCGGCCCGCGUCUGAUUAGCUUGUUGGUGAGGUAACGGCUCACCAAGGCGACGAUCAGUAGCUGGUCUGAGAGGAUGAUCAGCCACAUUGGGACUGAGACACGGCCCAAACUCCUACGGGAGGCAGCAGUGGGGAAUAUUGGACAAUGGGCGCAAGCCUGAUCCAGCCAUGCCGCGUGAGUGAUGAAGGCCCUAGGGUUGUAAAGCUCUUUUGUGCGGGAAAAUAAUGACGGUACCGCAAGAAUAAGCCCCGGCUAACUUCGUGCCAGCAGCCGCGGUAAUACGAAGGGGGCUAGCGUUGCUCGGAAUCACUGGGCGUAAAGGGUGCGUAGGCGGGUCUUUAAGUCAGAGGUGAAAGCCUGGAGCUCAACUCCAGAACUGCCUUUGAUACUGAGGAUCUCGAGUUCGGGAGAGGUGAGUGGAACUGCGAGUGUAAAGGUGAAAUUCGUAGAUAUUCGCAAGAACACCAGUGGCGAAGGCGGCUCACUGGCCCGAUACUGACGCUGAGGCACGAAAGCGUGGGGAGCAAACAGGAUUAGAAUCCCUGGUAGUCCCCCCCGUAAACGAUGAAUGCCAGCCCUUGGAAAGUUUUCUUUUCGUGGGCGCAAUUAACCCUUUAAGCCUUCCCCCCUGGGGAGU